rnacentral:lncRNA from 1 species
GGAGAUGAUGUGUUAUUACAGAGCUUACAUGUGAUGGAUAGUAUAUUCUUAAAGGUGUGAUAAAGCUAUUAGCUUCUAUGAUACUCCAUAGCCUAGGAUUUUCAGCUGUGUCCUUUUACCACAAAAUUUACCAACUGUGAAACAUUCUGCCCACAAAGACUGUCUUAAGGAAUGUUCAACUAGGAUAACAUUUACACUCCUGGAUGAAGCAAAGCAGAAUCAGGAGAGCAUUGGCAACAUUCCUUGGUAUUAUUAUACUUUGCCAUAUCCUAUCACAGUACUGCAGAGCCCGAGUCAACACCUGGAUAACAUGGUGGUGGUAGGUGGACAUUUGGGUCUGUGAAAUGUGGAAGAAAACAAAGGUCUUGUUUAGAUUGCAUGGGACAUAUUAAUAUAGUUUAAGCUCAUCUGGGUCAUUAUCAAUUGAUUCCCACUCAUGAAGAUUUAGCUGAGAUUUUGUGAUUCAAGGUUCAGGAGUGGGAAGGAUUCUGGUACCUGAUACCUGAUGGGGAUUGUGUGACUGCUGGCAUGUCUUAAAUGACUUAAUUAUCUUUUGUUGCCAGAUGAAUGGGAAUUAACAACAGCCUUUUGUCUUUGUGAAAAUGAAAUUUCCUUUUAAUUUAAUACUAUAUUUAAAGACAUGAAAUUUGUCUGGUUCAGUAUCUAUCAUCUAUCUAUCUAUCUAUCUAUCUAUCUAUCUAUCUAUCUAUCUAUCUAUCUAUCUAUCUACCUACCUGCCCACCUACCUGUCUACCUAUUAUCAACCUACCUACCUGCUGUUAAAUAAAGAACCUCCUUGUCUGAUAUCCUUUUAAUAAAAGUUUGUGUUCUUUGUUUCAG